rnacentral:rRNA from 1 species
ACGUACACUCCUACGGGAGGCAGCAGUGGGGAAUAUUGGACAAUGGGCGCAAGCCUGAUCCAGCCAUGCCGCGUGAGUGAUGAAGGCCCUAGGGUUGUAAAGCUCUUUUGUGCGGGAAGAUAAUGACGGUACCGCAAGAAUAAGCCCCGGCUAACUUCGUGCCAGCAGCCGCGGUAAUACGAAGGGGGCUAGCGUUGCUCGGAAUCACUGGGCGUAAAGGGUGCGUAGGCGGGUCUUUAAGUCAGGGGUGAAAUCCUGGAGCUCAACUCCAGAACUGCCUUUGAUACUGAAGAUCUUGAGUUCGGGAGAGGUGAGUGGAACUGCGAGUGUAGAGGUGAAAUUCGUAGAUAUUCGCAAGAACACCAGUGGCGAAGGCGGCUCACUGGCCCGAUACUGACGCUGAGGCACGAAAGCGUGGGGAGCAAACAGGAUUAGAAACCCCUGUAGUCCCAUGA